AUUGAACGCUGGCGGCAGGCUUAACACAUGCAAGUCGAACGAGUGGCGGACGGGUGAGUAAUGCUUGGGAAUCUAGCUUAUGGAGGGGGUCAACUACGGGAAACUGAAGCCAAUACCGCGCACCAUAGGAUGAGCCCAAUUGGGUUUAGGUAGUUGGGGGGGUAAAGGCUCACCAGGCUGACGAUCUCUAGCUGGUCUGAGAGGAUGACCGGCCACACUGGGACUGGGACACGGCCCAAACUCCAACGGGGGGCAGCAGGGGGGAUUGUUGCGCAAUGGGGACAACCUGACGCGGCCAUGCCGGGUGGAUAAGGAGGGCCUUCGGGUUGUAAAGUUCUUUCGGUAGCGAGGCGUUCACUACAGAAGAGGCACCGGCUAACUCCGUGCAAGCGGCCGCGUAAUAC
rnacentral:rRNA from 1 species